rnacentral:tRNA from 1 species
GCUGAUAUAGCUCAGUUGGUAGAGCAGCUCAUUCGUAAUGAGCAGGUCGUAGGUUCGAAUCCUAUUAUCAGCUCCA